UGCGUAGGCAGCAAGCGUUGUUCGGAAUUACUGGGCGUAAAGAGUGUGUAGGCGGUGCUCUAAGUUCGGUGUGAAAUCUCCCGGCUUAACUGGGAGGGUGCGCCGGAAACUGGAGUGCUUGAGCGCGGGAGAGGAAAGCGGAAUUCCUGGUGUAGCGGUGAAAUGCGUAGAUAUCAGGAGGAACACCUGUGGUGUAGACGGCUUUCUGGACCGUAGCUGACGCUGAGACACGAAAGCGUGGGUAGCAAACAGG
rnacentral:rRNA from 1 species